rnacentral:tRNA from 1 species
GCCCGGGUGGUGGAAUUGGUAGACACAAGAGACUUAAAAUCUCUCGUCCUCACGGACGUGCCGGUUCAAGUCCGGCCCCGGGUA